GGAAAGACAAUUUCUUGAUUUAUGUUGUUCGUAAUUACCAUAAAAAAUCAAAUCAUUUACAUUCGUAAAUCUCAGAUUUGUACGUCUGUCAUAAAACUAUCCCUAAUUCCCGCAUGUUCGUAAUUAUCAUAAAAAAAUCAAAUCACUUAUGUUCGUAAAUGCCAGAUUUUUACGACUGCCAUAAAACUGUCCCUAAUUUCCGCUAGUGUUCUUAGUUGUACCGAUAUUAUGUUUUUAUCAAUUAUGCUACACGGUGUAAGUAUUUAUGUGAUGCUGUAUAAGAAUUUAUGCUCUAUGUGACUAGGGUUGAAAACGGUCGGAAACGAUCGGAAAACACUAAAACUGUUACCGUUUUCAUAUUUUUUAUCGGAAACGAAAUCGGAAACGGUAAUUCCGGAAACAGAAACGACAUCGGUAUUUCGGAAUCAUCGGAAACGGAAGUUCGGUACAAAAAAUACAUCGGUAUCGGUCGGAAUCUAAAAUUCAAUCGGUAACCAUAUCAAUAUGAAAAUAUCACAAUACAACAAAGUUUACGAAUAUCACAAAAAACACAAGUUCACAAUUUUCAAUAUCACAUGUUCACAAUUCACAAUAUCACAAGUUCACAAUAUAAUAAUGGAUCACACAGAUCACAAGUUCACAAUAUUACAAAUUAAUCCCAUAAAUCACAAGUUCACAAUAUAACAAAUUGAUCACAAGUUUACAAUAUAACAAGUGGAUAUUGAAAAUGAAAAACGAGCGCCAACUCCGAACAGCAAAAACCCUGUAUAUACCACACAUAGAAGACAUCAAGGUCUUAUCGAGAUGUAAUCAGAUUCGCAUUAAUCAAUAUUAGGCUGAUAUGAAUUAAAAUAGAACUCCAAGUAAAUUUUAAUAUACCUAAUACAUGAUUUCAGCGAGGGAUUCGAAUAAUAUCCAAACAAAACCCCAAGUGAUAAGUGUGUGGCCGUGUGGGGGUGGGGGAGGGAGAGGCUAGUAGGCUACAGCCUACUACCACGUUGCAGGCUUGCAACAGCCGAGGAGAAGCCGUGCAGGCUGUUGAGGAAGAGGAGCGGCAGCAAGGGGGCAUGGGCGUGCGCGCCGACGGCAGCAGCAAGGACAGGUCCUUCUCCGAGCGGUGUGUGCAUCCAUGGCCACAAAGCUAGGAUUAGGGAUUACAGAUUUACAGAUUAGUAGAUUACUUACAGUGGAUUGGGGGCAGUGCGUUCGUCCGUGGUCUGCACGCGCAGCCCGGCAGAGAGAAGGAAGAUGAGUCACGGAAUUUGGGGGCACGGUAUGGAGCGCUGAGCAGCCGUGAACAAUGGCGACUAGCUGUGGCGGCUGUGUGCGGUGUGCCUGUGCGGCUGCGCUGUGCUGGGCGAGGGCGGCGGAUGUGCGACGGGCCGACGACAGAUGGG
rnacentral:lncRNA from 1 species